rnacentral:rRNA from 1 species
GACGAACGCUGGCGGCGUGCUUAACACAUGCAAGUCGAACGGAAAGGCCCUGCUUUUGUGGGGUGCUCGAGUGGCGAACGGGUGAGUAACACGUGAGUAACCUGCCCUUGACUUUGGGAUAACUUCAGGAAACUGGGGCUAAUACCGGAUAGGAGCUCCUGCUGCAUGGUGGGGGUUGGAAAGUUUCGGCGGUUGGGGAUGGACUCGCGGCUUAUCAGCUUGUUGGUGGGGUAGUGGCUUACCAAGGCUUUGACGGGUAGCCGGCCUGAGAGGGUGACCGGCCACAUUGGGACUGAGAUACGGCCCAGACGCCUACGGGAGGCAGCAGGGGGGAAUAUUGCACAGUGGGCGGAAGCCUGAUGCAGCAACGCCGCGUGCGGGAUGACGGCCUUCGGGUUGUAAACCGCUUUCGCCUGUGACGAAGCGUGAGUGACGGUAAUGGGUAAAGAAGCACCGGCUAACUACGUG